rnacentral:rRNA from 1 species
ACGGGUGAGUAAUGUAUCGGAACGUGCCCAAUCGUGGGGGAUAACGUAGAGAAAUUUACGCUAAUACCGCAUACGAUCUAAGGAUGAAAGCGGGGGAUCGCAAGACCUCGCGCGAUUGGAGCGGCUGAUAUCAGAUUAGGUUGUUGGUGAGGUAAAAGCUCACCAAGCCGACGAUCUGUAGCUGGUUUGAGAGAACGACCAGCCACACUGGGACUGAGACACGGCCCAGACUCCUACGGGAGGCAGCAGUGGGGAAUUUUGGACAAUGGGCGCAAGCCUGAUCCAGCAAUGCCGCGUGCAGGAAGAAGGCCUUCGGGUUGUAAACUGCUUUUGUACGGAACGAAACGGUUCUUUCUAAUAAAGAGAGCUAAUGACGGUACCGUAAGAAUAAGCACCGGCUAACUACGUGCCAGCAGCCGCGGUAAUACGUAGGGUGCGAGCGUUAAUCGGAAUUACUGGGCGUAAAGCGUGCGCAGGCGGUUAUGUAAGACAGUUGUGAAAUCCCCGGGCUCAACCUGGGAAUUGCAUCUGUGACUGCAUAGCUAGAGUACGGUAGAGGGGGAUGGAAUUCCGCGUGUAGCAGUG